UGAAGGACGUGCUAAUCUGCGAUAAGCGCCGGUAAGGUGAUAUGAACCGUUAUAACCGGCGAUUUCCGAAUGGGGAAACCCAGUGUGACUCGUCACACUAUCAUUAACUGAAUCCAUAGGUUAAUGAGGCGAACCGGGGGAACUGAAACAUCUAAGUACCCCGAGGAAAAGAAAUCAACCGAGAUUCCCCCAGUAGCGGCGAGCGAACGGGGAGGAGCCCAGAGCCUGAAUCAGCAUGUGUGUUAGUGGAAGCGUCUGGAAAGGCGCGCGAUACAGGGUGAC
rnacentral:rRNA from 1 species